AAAACGGAGGAAGGUGGGGAUGACGUCAAAUCAUCAUGCCCCUUAUGUUCUGGGCUACACACGUGCUACAAUGGCCGGUACAGACGGACGCAAAGCCGCGAGGUGGAGCAAAUCCUAAAAAGCCGGUCUCAGUUCGGAUUGCAGGCUGCAAUUCGCCUGCAUGAAGUCGGAAUCGCUAGUAAUCGCAGGUCAGCAUACUGCGGUCGAAUACGUUCCCGGGCCUU
rnacentral:rRNA from 1 species